rnacentral:rRNA from 2 species
ACGGGAGGCAGCAGUGGGGAAUAUUGCGCAAUGGGCGAAAGCCUGACGCAGCGACGCCGCGUGGGGGAUGAAGGUCUUCGGAUCGUAAACCCCUGUCAGGAGGGAAGAAUGGGAGAUGCGCCAAUCAACAUCUCUGUGACGGUACCUCCAAAGGAAGCACCGGCUAACUCCGUGCCAGCAGCCGCGGUAAUACGGAGGGUGCGAGCGUUAAUCGGAAUCACUGGGCGUAAAGCGCAUGUAGGCGGACCAGCAAGUCAAGGGUGAAAUGCCGGGGCUCAACCUCGGAACUGCCUUUGAAACUGCUGGACUGGAGUACGGGAGAGGACAGCGGAAUUCCAGGUGUAGGAGUGAAAUCCGUAGAUAUCUGGAAGAACACCAGCGGCGAAGGCGGCUGUCUGGCCCGUUACUGACGCUGAGAUGCGAAAGCGUGGGUAGCAAACAGGAUUAGAUACCCUGGUA